UUUCCGUAGGUGAACCUACGGAAGGAUCAUUAAUGAGAACUAAGGGUAGUAGUCUCGGCUAUUACUCUGAACACUCCACCCUUUGUUUAUAUUACCUUUGUUGCUUUAGCAGGCCCGCUCUCGAGCCGCCGGCACCUGCUGGCUAGUGCCUGCUAAAGAACCUAAAACUCUUGUUAAUAAUAUUGUCUGAGUACUAUAUAAUAGUUAAAACUUUCAACAACGGAUCUCUUGGUUCUG
rnacentral:misc_RNA from 1 species